GGAAGGAAGCACAGCCUGGCCCCUUUGCGGGAACCCGGAGGAGGCACUGAACCAGGACGUCUGGGAGGGCCCCCUGGAGGAAGCGACCUCGGAGCUGGGAACUGAAAGGACUAGAAGGAAGGAGAGAGUUCUCAGAGGAGGUAGCCUGGGUGGGGAGAGAGAGGCUGGCAUGCCCAGGAGACUGCAGGCUACCCUUUGUGCGAGGAGCAGAGGUGGGGAGUCGGGGGUGGGGUGGGGGGGGGAGGCAAGAGUCAGACUGUGGAGGACCCAGAUGCCAGGUUGAGUCUGGAUUAUCCUGAGGGCAAUGGGUGCGAGGAAAGGAAGGACUGCACCCCCAGAGGAGCACUCUGGCCCACAAAGGGGCCAGGGCCCAGGCAGAGGCCUGGAGCUCCCCCCCCCCCUCCCCCGGGGCGUCUGGUGCAACUCGCGGGGGUUAAGAAUACAGGCUCUGGACCCUUACUGCCCGAGUCUGAGUUUGAAUGCUCGGUUGUUUUAAGCACGUUUCAGUCCCCUCACCUGUUAUACGGGAAUAGUCACUGUACAGUAUCUGCCUCACAGGAAGAAGGUGGACGGUUGAAGGGCUCCACACAGACCAGCACAGGUGCAUGCCAGGCCCUGAGAGGGGCUGCAGAUCAGAACCCGGAGUGAAAAGCCGGUGGUGGAUUCCUUGACUUCAGCUUCCAGAACUGCACUUGGACAUGGAUUUGGCAAUAGAAAGCCUAGCUUGUCCCUCCUGUUCUGAGAGUACCCAGAUCAGGUCAUGGCCAUCACGGGUGGUCCCUGGACACCCUCAGGCAAUGAGGAUGUCACUCCAAAAGCCUGGGAUGGACAGUUUAGUAGGAGGGGGUCUUCUCCCCGGAAGAUUGAGUCAUGUAUGGAAAUUAGGCAGAUCAAAGCCAGAGCAUUAAUGGUUUUGUGUUGAGUUUACAAACAAUCUCUGUUGUUUGAUACUCAUGUAAUUGUAAAGGAAUUUGGUAUGGUAGGGUAUCCAAUAAGUCUGAUUCUGUGUGAAACAUGUUGAGUUUGAAACAUUGAUUUUGAUAGUGAUUCUAAGUUGGAAGGUACAAGACUUUAGUUUGUGAUCAUAAUUGGAAUAGUAAAGGAAAUUUACAAAUU
rnacentral:lncRNA from 1 species